UACGGAGGGGGCUAGCGUUGUUCGGAAUUACUGGGCGUAAAGCGCACGUAGGCGGCUUUGUAAGUUAGAGGUGAAAGCCCGGGGCUCAACUCCGGAAUUGCCUUUAAGACUGCAUCGCUAGAAUUGUGGAGAGGUAAGUGGAAUUCCGAGUGUAGAGGUGAAAUUCGUAGAUAUUCGGAAGAACACCAGUGGCGAAGGCGACUUACUGUACACAUAUUGACGCUGAGGUGCGAAAGCGUGGGGAGCAAACAGG
rnacentral:rRNA from 1 species